rnacentral:pre_miRNA from 1 species
CUUUAUCAUUCUCUGGUCUUGUGUGAAUUUUAUACUACUGGACGGAGAACUGAUAAAGGA